GGCCAUGCAUCCCAGUCUGAGCUCACGGCUCCGUGCUGGGCAGACAGUUUCUUUCUGGGCUGUGGCCUCAGGUCAGAGCCAUCGCAGUGGCUGAUCUGUGUUUUCUCUGCAGGGAAACGUGUGGCAGGAUACAAAGCAGCACUUGCCCGUGAAGGCUCAGACAGCUCUGAGAGCAGCCAUGGCUCCAACACCAGCAUCCAACAUAAGUGCGGGGGGCUCUGGCCUGAGGGAUCACCAAAGGAUUCUGCCCCUCUCUGAGCCAGCCCUGGGGGCCCCAGGUCACUCCAGGCCAUGCGGCCGUGGGGGCCAAGUGCCAGGAGAGCUGCGUGGCUGGAUCUGCACCAGCCCCCCUGCUGCUGGGGGGAGAGGGGCAGAGUGCCAGUGUUUGUUGUCAUCCCAAUCAGCCUGGGCUCAGGGGCCAAAGCCAGGUCUGUGCCUGCCUGGAGCUGCAUUCCCUCCAACUCCUACAGCUCCUGUGUUUUCUUCCCACAGCUUAGCAGAGCCUGAUGAAGCCUGUGCUGUGUCAUGAGGGGCCCAUGGAGGAGGAGGGAGAGAAAACAUUGAGCAGCAUACUGCACUGAUUCAUCGCUUCCACGUGUACUUUUUGUGCCUUGAUUUUGCAGAGCAAAGCCCUUUUCUGUGGGACAGUAAAUAGCUGGUGUAUGAAAUUAAAGCUGUUGGACUACAACCUGGCUGGGAUGGGAGCAGGGGGUGGGAUUUGGGGAUUGCUUGGGGCUGAUCAGCUUGUUGCACAUUUCAACCAUAGUUUGCUACUCAUAACAAAAAAAUAAAAGGUAGAGGGGA